UUGGGGGGUGGUGCGGAGGCUGGAUGGUGGACGGUUCUGCUAGCCAGCGCUGCACCGCAUCUCUGUGCCCCCAUCUUUGCGAAUGGAAGGCCCUGACUCCUCUCUUUUAGGAGGUUCUGCCGGUCAAGGAAUUUGUCUUCUAACUGCUAUGCACAGCGACAUGGGGGCCACCGGGCCACCAGUCUGUGGCAGAAGGAAAGAGGACUAACUGAAGGGGGCUGUCGUGGAGAAGAGUGUGUGACGUCAGUGAGAAUCUCGGGGUGUGACAUCAGCUCCGGGCUACUAGUGACGUCACCGGGACAGCUGUAUAAGGGGCCAGCCCGCCAGCCAGAGUGUAUGUGAUGUCACCGUGGAUGUGGGGCUCAGUGUGGCCCUGUCCUAUGUGUUUGAGGGGCAGAGGGGAAAGGGAGGGAACCUUUGAGUGAAUGAGCCCCCAAGAGGCCUCCUGUGCCAUGGCCUGAGUGGGUGUGGGACCCCUUCCUUGCCUGUGCCCCCCAAUGCUGCCUCUCCUCUGCCCCCACAUGGAGAGACCCC
rnacentral:lncRNA from 1 species